rnacentral:rRNA from 1 species
UACGGGGGGGGCAAGCGUUGUUCGGAAUUACUGGGCGUAAAGGGCGCGUAGGCGGUCUACUAAGUUGGAUGUGAAAACUCUGGGCUUAACUCAGAGCCUGCAUUCAAAACUGAUAGGCUGGAGUUCUGGAGGGGAUAGCGGAAUUCCUGGUGUAGCGGUGAAAUGCGUAGAGAUCGGCAGGAACACCCAGGGGGAAACCAGCCGACUGGGCAAGUGCUGACGCUGAGGUGCGAGAGCGUGGGGAGCGAACCGG